GAUGAACGCUAGCGGCAGGCCUAACACAUGCAAGUCGAGGGGUAGUUACUUUCGGGUAAUGAGACCGGCGCACGGGUGCGUAACGCGUAUGCAAUCUACCUUUUACAGGGGAAUAGCCCAGAGAAAUUUGGAUUAAUGCCCCAUAGUAUAUAACAUUCGCAUGUUUGUUAUAUUAAAGUUCCAACGGUAAAAGAUGAGCAUGCGUCCCAUUAGUUAGUUGGUAAGGUAACGGCUUACCAAGACUAUGAUGGGUAGGGGUCCUGAGAGGGAGAUCCCCCACACUGGUACUGAGACACGGACCAGACUCCUACGGGAGGCAGCAGUGAGGAAUAUUGGACAAUGGGCGCAAGCCUGAUCCAGCCAUGCCGCGUGCAGGAAGAAGCAUCUAUGGUGUGUAAACUGCUUUUGUACAGGAAGAAACACUCCCUCGUGAGGGAGCUUGACGGUACUGUAAGAAUAAGGAUCGGCUAACUCCGUGCCAGCAGCCGCGGUAAUACGGAGGAUCCAAGCGUUAUCCGGAAUCAUUGGGUUUAAAGGGUCCGUAGGCGGUUUGAUAAGUCAGUGGUGAAAGCCCAUCGCUCAACGAUGGAACGGCCAUUGAUACUGUCAGACUUGAAUUACUAGGAAGUAACUAGAAUAUGUAGUGUAGCGGUGAAAUGCUUAGAUAUUACAUGGAAUACCAAUUGCGAAGGCAGGUUACUACUAGUGGAUUGACGCUGAUGGACGAAAGCGUGGGGAGCGAACAGGAUUAGAUACCCUGGUAGUCCACGCCGUAAACGAUGGAUACUAGCUGUUGGGUGCAAACUCAGUGGCUAAGCGAAAGUGAUAAGUAUCCCACCUGGGGAGUACGUUCGCAAGAU
rnacentral:rRNA from 1 species